UGAGGAGACACCUGGGUUUCCCUGGCAACAGGUGCCGCGGCGGCCGGGAGAGCCGGGAGAGCCGGGAGAGCCGGGGUUUCCCCGCUCGGCUCCGCGCCGCCGGCGGCCCCGGGAGCGCCUCGCGGGCCGGGCCGGGGCUGCCCCUCGGGAAAGGGGCGGCACGGCCGGCCCGGCCCUGCGGCCCCCGGCGGGACCAGCCGGGGGUCCGGGCGAGAGCGGCCCCGCCCGCGGCGGGAAGGUAAGGGCUGUAUGACAGCAGGGAAGGCUACGGAGUGUCUUUCAGGAUGUAAAAGCUGUCAUUUGUGCAUCCAAGGAAGGACCGUGCUAUGAAGGCUCCUUUAUGUACUGGAAGGCUGCUGUAAGGUCUCGUGGAGCCUUCUUCAGGAUGAACAAUCCCAACUGUCUCAGCCUGUCUUCAUAGGAGAGGUCCUCCAGCCCUCUAAUCAUCUUUGUGAUCCUACUCUGGACUCAUUCCAAUGGAUCUACAUCCUUAUGUUGGGGAUCCAAGAGCUGGAUACAGUACUCCAGAUAUCCAAGCAUCACUGAGGGUGUGACCAAUGCUCUUCCUGCCUAACCCUACAGGUACAGAAGAAGGACUUGCUAAUGCUGGGUGCCUGCCUGUGCUCUGCGAUGAGAUGCAGCAGAAUCCAGUCCUCAAGCCUCCUUCCUAAGAUCGGCAGAAAUCAUCAAUAGAAUUGUUUACUUCUACAAAAAUCCUAAAAAAGCUGUACAGACCACAACAACAAUGAACCUGGCUGCUGUUGGGAUGUGUGCACUGUGCCAUGAUCCAUGAAAGGGCUCAUCCAGGACUGUGAUAGGGUUGCCAGCAUCAGCAGGGAGAUCCCAAAGGAAUGGGUACCUCCUUGGUGCAAAACAAGAUGCUGGGAGAUCCUUCUAUUUUCAGCAUGGCUUUGGUUUCGUGAAAAUCCACUGGACAGGACUCCUGCAGCAGCAUUGCCACAGCUCAGGGAAAGGAUGUGGCUUCAUCAUGAGGAUUGCAACACAAAAUGUAAAUUCAACUAGCACUAGGCUUAUGGAUUUGGGCUGGCAUAUUUGCUACAGCAGAAUUCACCAAUAUCUCUGAUGUUACAAGAAUAUAACAAAUACACUGAGAAUCACUGAGGUGAAGGUGGAGCAGCAUUUAUCUCUAAAAAAAAAAAAGUUUUCAAGGUAGGGAGUUGCUCUGUUCCAAAUAACCUGUGCUCUUUGGGUGAAACCAAUAUAAUAAUAUUCUUGUAUGACUUCAAAGCCUUCCUGAUUUUGGGACCCCAAAGCAGCACAGGCAUUUUAUAUGUCAAAUACCCACUACGGCAACUGCGAAACUCAAUGCCACUUUGAUAUACAGCUGCUCUUGCCUUAGGGCUCAAGGCAGGAUAGCUUUACUAUAAAGGUGCCAGAUCCAGAAUCACAACUAACAUCUUGCACUUCCCACACCAGUGGUCCCUCGAGGCUUGAGGAAGAAACUGGGCUGUGAAUAACAAGGUAUCUGAACAGCUGGUGACUCACUAAAGGUCCAUGGUCUGAGAUCUUGAAAGUCUGCCAACAAUUUUAUCAUAGUUGUCAGUGAGAGGAAAGAUAAGAACAAAACCACAAAGUGUUGUUGAUUUUUAAAGGUCAGCAUACUUAUGGUUCACAGUCACUGUGGAAGGAAUCUUCUGGUUUUUCACAGAGAUUUCACUGAGAAAGAGAUAACUAAAAAAAUGUGGAUUACCUGUUCUUAAUAAAAAAUAUAACUUAGUGUUCUGAAUACAGGUAAACCUAGUCUAUCAGUGGUCCAAAUUUAACUACAUAUUCUUCUUUGUGUUUACAGUGUUGAAUAAUCUUGAACUUCUAAACAUUUCUCAUCAAAGGAAUACCAAAUUUAUGGAAAUAUUUGCUUGUGCAUUUUAUUGUCUCUCAUCCCAAAGGUGGUGUAAGGUAAGUUUGUGCAAUGGGAUUACCAGGAAGCAACCAAUGAACCACAUGUGCUUGUAGUUCAUCAUCUGUAUUGAGGAAGGUGGGAGAGCUCCAGGAGUUAACAAUUGUGUCUGAAAAUUGUGCUUUCUUUUUCUUGUAGUCUUACUCAUCUUUACCACAUUGACAAAAUUGCAUUCAACUGGUAAAAAAAUACUGGUAAUCGUUUACAUUAAUGCAUCUAAUAUCCCUGUGGGUUUCAUUUUACACAAAACAAACUUAACAAAAAAAAAUCCUUAUCAAAUUAUCCUCAAUAUGAGUUAUAGUAUGUUCACAGUGCUGCAACACACAAUAAAAAUGGAAGAUUCCAAACCACUUAAAAAAAAGUUAAAGACCAUGGGAGAUCUGUAGGUCCCUGAGAUAGAGAUGGUUAGAUGGAAUAAUUUAUCCUGCCGGUGAGUCUUGCCAUGUCUGACUGCAUCUGUCUCAUUUGUUAUUUCUCUGCCUCCUACUUUAUAUGGCUCACAGAUGUUACCCUCACUGCAUUUUUGUGAACUUGUUAACAGAAUACUAAGAUCUUUUUCCCUUUCUAUGUCCUGUUCUGUUAAAUGGCUUAGUCAAGAACAUUUAUUAAGCAUAAUUUCUUCCUUUUCCUCUGCAAAUUCAGACAUUGAUUAUUGUGUAAGACACUGUCUCUUUGAAGUCUAUUGCACAAUAAUGGAAAUAUGUUCAAUUGUAGGUAGACACCCCAGAUGAUCUAUUAGAUAUCUCUAUACUGUUCUAUUCCUAGCUUGAUUUUUUUUUCAUACUUAAAGUAGGAUCAUUAACAAAAUCUUUUAAAAUAUGGGCAAAAAUAAGAAUAGAUACUGAGUAUAAACUGACAUAAACUGCUGUUUCUCCCAUACUGAGAAAUUCUUCGCCUUCUGUAGCAAGUUUUGCGACUUCUUUGUUUGGCACAGGAGAAUUAAACUUAAAACUCAAUCCUCCCUCACUGUCAUUGCAUCGUGCAGGAUAUCUGCUCAUUGCAGUUGUGGAGGUGCUUUCUGUAGAGGUGAAAAAAGCCAUCGUUUGUUUUCAUACUUCCAUGCACUGAAUAAAUCCCUGGCACUGAGGAUGAGAUACAGAAAAGUAAUGUACAAACUUGCAUUGUGCAGGUGAGAGAACAACUCUAGUACAGUCACUGGGUUUUUCUUUAUAUUUCUUUGAGACCUUUGUUAUUUCCUUAGCUCUUCACUGCUUGCAUAAAUAGCAUUUUAUCAGCAGAAUACUGAUGAAGAGCCCUUAUAGGAUUAUCCUGACUUAAUUUAGAAAAAAAAAAAAAAAAGGAUAUAUCUUUUGUUAAGGAGAAACUCAACCUUUCCUGAAAUACAUUUUUCUAUAACCCUCUAAUUUAUGGCAAAUCUAAUUCAAGUUACCAGAAUAUUGCAUUCUUACUGGAUCUCAUAGUGUGUAGACUUUUUCUCCUUUAAUGUUAAAGGUUUUAGAAUUACUUUUUUUUUCUUGGAAACUUGUGAUGCUAAAAUUCAAAAUAGGGGACUGUUUAGCCAGAUGGAUAUUGGAACAGUAGCAUUGCUUAUUAAAAUAAGCAGCACAGA